UAGUGCUACAGCUUUUUUGGAAGUUGUCUAGCAGGCUUUCUGGGUUUUGCUGGAAGGCCCUU
ensembl:snRNA U7 U7 small nuclear RNA